rnacentral:rRNA from 1 species
GACGAACGCUGGCGGCGUGCUUAACACAUGCAAGUCGAACGGAAAGGCCCUGCUUUUGUGGGGUGCUCGAGUGGCGAACGGGUGAGUAACACGUGAGUAACCUGCCCUUGACUUUGGGAUAACUUCAGGAAACUGGGGCUAAUACCGGAUAGGAGCUCCUGCUGCAUGGUGGGGGUUGGAAAGUUUCGGCGGUUGGGGAUGGACUCGCGGCUUAUCAGCUUGUUGGUGGGGUAGUGGCUUACCAAGGCUUUGACGGGUAGCCGGCCUGAGAGGGUGACCGGCCACAUUGGGACUGAGAUACGGCGCAGACUCCUACGGGAGGCAGCAGUGGGGAAUAUUGCACAAUGAGCGGAAGCCUGAUGCAACGACGCCGCGUGCGGGAUAACGGCCUUCGGGUUGUAAACCGCUUUCGCCUGUGACGAAGCGUUAUUGACGGUAAUGGAUAAGAAAGCACCGGCUAACUACGUG